CUUUAAAUUAGAUAUCCAGGCAGCCUCUCGUUUUAACAAUAAAUUGUUGAGGUCACCCCCUCUCCUAGGGAGGGUGACAUGUUCGAUGCCGAUAUAACGUAGGGACGAAAUCGAGUUGUUCGCUUCCAAAAAGUGUGCCGCAACUGGUGGAAGAAGUGGAUGGAAGAUUCUCAGGACACAGUACACCUAGGCCAGGAAGGAGGCACCCUCAGGUAGUGCUGGUGGAAGGGCUAUAGGAAGACACAUCUCCAUCCUUCAGCACUUUCUGGAGCCCCAUACUGCAUAAUGGAUGAGGCCCAUCCAGCAACAGGCGGUACAGCCUGCAUUUCCCCCCUCAUAUGAAGCCAAACACCAGUCAGCAAAACCACAAUAACUCGUGGGUUGGGAUGGCUCCUUGUACAAGCACCCGAAGGCACAAUGACGAGGAGGAAGAUUAGUUUGGGAAGGUAGAGGACCAUGACUCUCUCAGCACCAUUUAGAAGGCCCUGGAUAAAUUCUGCCAUGCUGAUGAGGAUGGUUCCUUUUGGCUGAUCCCUGGAGUGAAGAACACAAAGCCUUUUACCAACAGCUGGUGGAUGAGAUUGGGGCACACUGCCAGAUGAUGCACCAACAACAGUAGCUAGUGAACCAGCAGCUGCCCCUAUCUCCAUGUAAUGAAAUCACCAUCAAUAUUGCACAGACCAUUUUGUUUUCUUCAUCUUAUUGCAUGUUUAUAUACACGUUCCCUUUGUUUCAUUACAAGGGGUUAUGCUUUUUUUUCAUUAUUUGGGGUUAUUCUUAACUUUUUUAGUUGUACAAUGUAACUGAUUCAGUUUUGCACAAUUAAAAGUGACUGAAUACCACUCAAUGUGUCUGAAAUGAUCAUACAAUAAAGGAAGCUCAGACUUUCCUCAUGGGUUAAAUUGAGCUUAAG
ensembl:lncRNA